CGGGGCGUAGCGCAGCCUGGUAGCGCACCUGCCUUGGGCGCAGGGGGUCGCGAGUUCGAAUCCCGCCGCCCCGACCA
rnacentral:tRNA from 1 species